UCAUUCCACGCCGCGAGAGAAAUUUUUAAAUGACGCUGCAAAUGAUGCUUGCCUAACAGUAAAAAAAAAAAAAAAAAAAAGAAAUCCGUCCGGAUCAUCGAGUAUUCGAGAGCGAAAAACGAAUAUCGAAAGAAGAUUUUCCCCGA